UGCGUGUUCGAAAACGGAAAA
rnacentral:piRNA from 1 species